rnacentral:lncRNA from 1 species
AUGAUGGAUCUAACACAUAGACAAUGCUCAAUACAUCUUACAUUCCUCCUUUCCUCACUUUAUUCCCUAUCCUAUGUGUCAGCAUUGCUGACUUGCAUGAAACACCUUGCAUCUCUUCUGGGAUUCCAUUCAUAUAUUUCCUCUAAAAGUAACUCUCUUUUUUCUGUUGGAAAACUCUUUCUCGUUCUUGAAGCUGAAGCUGAAGGUCAUGUCUUUUGUAAAGCACCCCUUCAUACCCAGGACAAAGGCCUUCAAAGUUCAACCUCCCUGGAACUCCAGAACUCCCCACUCUAUAAGAUGAAUGGCUAAUUGGAUCCUAGUACAUAAGGAAACACUGGCAAAAUAGUG